rnacentral:rRNA from 1 species
UCUUUGCGCAAGGGAUCUUUUGGUUCGCUAGACGAAGAAGGGCGCAGCGGAAUGCGAAAUGUGCAGGAGUCGCAGCGAAGAUAGCACAUGCCUGAAAUCACGAGAGUGAGAAUACCCCUUUGAAUUAAGCAUAUGAGUAAAGGGAGGAAAAGAAACUAACAAGGAUUCCUGUAGUAGCGGCGAGCGAAGAAGGAACAGCCCCGAGUGUAAUCACCGUAGUGUGAGAUGUCAUUAAUCUAUAGAACGAUGUUGAAACUUUGGCCUGAGAGGGUGAUAGCCCCGUAAAAUAUAGAUGUAACGAGGGAGUAGCAGU